CAAUAGACUACCCCGGUAGUCCACGCCCUAAACGAUGCGAACUGGAUGUUGGGUACAUUACGGUACUCAGUGUCGAAGCUAACGCGUUAAGUUCGCCGCCUGGGGAGUACGGUCGCAAGACUGAAACUCAAAGGAAUUGACGGGGGCCCGCACAAGCGGUGGAGUAUGUGGUUUAAUUCGAUGCAACGCGAAGAACCUUACCUGGCCUUGACAUCUGUCGAAUCCUGCAGAGAUGCGGGAGUGCCGCAAGGAACGACAAGACAGGUGCUGCAUGGCUGUCGUCAGCUCGUGUCGUGAGAUGUUGGGUUAAGUCCCGCAACGAGCGCAACCCUUGUCCCUAGUUGCCAGCACGUAAUGGUGGGAACUCUAGGGAGACUGCCGGUGACAAACCGGAGGAAGGUGGGGAUGACGUCAAGUCCUCAUGGCCCUUACGGCCAGGGCUACACACGUACUACAAUGGUCGGUACAGAGGGUUGCGAAGCCGCGAGGUGAAGCCAAUCCCAGAAAACCGAUCCCAGUCCGGAUUGGAGUCUGCAACUCG
rnacentral:rRNA from 1 species